AAUCGUUGUGUGUGCAGUGUCAUUUUUAACCGAUUUUUGUUGCUCGAUUUUAAUCGGACAACAUCAAAACGUUUUGAUAUACGAUUUUUAUCGGUGGAAUUUUAAGUAUAACCAAUCAGAUUUCAUGCUGUGAUCACGUGCUUGUAUUUAUUUAGCAACAUGGCGGCUACAGUUCAGGGAGCAUAUUUUUUUCGUAAUCGUGUGAGGAGUAUACCGAUGUAUAUCGAUAUGUCAAACGAUUUUUAUCGGCCGACUAAAAUCGCAUCGUGUGCGCCAGGCUUAAGGAUGAUUAGCACAUUACUUAACAUUAGAUGAAAGAUAACAGGAGUAAAAUGUUCAGGGGCACAAAUGACCAGUAAGGCUUGCAUGCCGGUAUCUUAAGGUAGUGUAGGUCAAUGAUGGAGAUUUUCAUAAAAAGC